UCGAGAAUUUUUCACAAUGGGCGAAAGCCUGAUGGAGCGACGCCGCGUGGGGGAUGAAUGGCUUCGGCCCGUAAACCCCUGUCAUUCGCGAGCAAACGUUAUUAUUUAAAAGAUGAUAGCCUGAUAGUAGCGAAAGAGGAAGGGACGGCUAACCCUGUGCCAGCAGCCGCGGUAAUACAGAGGUCCCAAGCGUUGUUCGGAUUUACUGGGCGUAAAGGGUGCGUAGGUGGUGGGGUAAGUCGGAUGUGAAAUCUCCGAGCUCAACUCGGAAAGUGCAUUGGAAACUACCCUGCUCGAGGGUUGGAGGGGGGACUGGAAUACUUGGUGUAGCAGUGAAAUGCGUAGAUAUCAAGUGGAACACCAGUGGCGAAGGCGAGUCCCCGGACAACUCCUGACACAGAGGCACGAAAGCUAGGGGAGCAAACAG
rnacentral:rRNA from 1 species